GCAGACACAUUCCAGCCAAUCAGCAGCAGACCCUCCCUCCUAGACCCUCCCACCUCCUGGACAGCAUCCAUUUUACAUUCAUUGUGAAGCUGCAUUCUUAGUGAGCUGUCCAGGAGGUGGAAGGGUCUGGGAGGGAGGGUCUGCUGCUGAUUGGCUAGAAUGUGUCU